AUUGAACGCUGGCGGCAGGCCUAACACAUGCAAGUCGAGCGGAUGAAGGGAGCUUGCUCCUGGAUUCAGCGGCGGACGGGUGAGUAAUGCCUAGGAAUCUGCCUGGUAGUGGGGGAUAACGUCCGGAAACGGGCGCUAAUACCGCAUACGUCCUGCGGGAGCAAGUGGGGGAUCUUCGGACCUCACGCUAUCAGAUGAGCCUAGGUCGGAUUAGCUAGUUGGUGGGGUAAAGGCCUACCAAGGAGACGAUCCGUAACUGGUCUGAGAGGAUGAUCAGUCACACUGGAACUGAGACACGGUCCAGACUCCUACGGGAGGCAGCAGUGGGGAAUAUUGGACGAUGGGCGAAAGCCUGAUCCAGCCAUGCCGCGUGUGUGAAGAAGGUCUUCGGAUUGUAAAGCACUUUAAGUUGGGAGGAAGGGCAGUAAGUUAAUACCUUGCUGUUUUGACGUUACCAACAGAAUAGGCACCGGCUAACUUCGUG
rnacentral:rRNA from 1 species